UCGAGCGGAGGAGACAAGCUCAAGAUGGAGUUUGCAUGGUGAGUUCGACGUUGCGGUUGAAGACUACAAAUCCAACAAAGGUGGAGAUUGUUAGGAUUUGGUUAGAUUUGUAGUUGAAUCCUAAUUGGAUUAGAAUUAAUAUUUAAAUCUGUUGGAGAUAAAUUAAGAUUUAAAUAUUAAUUAGAGUAUGAACCUAACAAGAUUAGGAUUACUAUUUAAAUCCAUUAGAGAUUAAUUAAGAUAAAUUUAGAUAUUAAUUAAAGUCGAAAUCCUAAAUAUAUGGUGGAACUUUAUAAAUAGCUCUUAAUGUGUUGCUUUUGUGGCAUGUACGGCAGGAGUCUUGGGUGUGCCGUAUUAGAGAGAGAGAGAGAGAGAGAGUAGCCAUGAGUUAGUGCACCUAGUGCACGGGUGCACGAAGGAAAUUGUCUUCUUUGUGGAUUUUUGAAAGACGAGAGAAGGGUAAGAGAGAUUCAGAAAAAAGGCUCGGGUUGUAGCUACUCUGUUGCAGAAGUGAAGUCAGGUGUAAUCUUCUCUUAUUUAAUGAAUCUUAUUUUACCCGCAUAUUUUUCUCUUUUAUAAUUGUAUCAGCUUCUGCUGAGGAGAAGACGGGUUUAUGGUAAAAAUUCGAUUCGACGCUUCCGUUGCGGAAUCCCAACAAUCGGUACCGGAUCCACAGCAGUCGGUAUCGGAGCGGAUUACGGAUUCUCAAGAUCCGGUACCAGGGCGAGUAUCGGAUUCCCAACAAGCUGAUCCUGGCUCACUCGUGUUUGGCUUGUUGACGGUCUAACAUAUGAGGCACUAACGUCUACAAGUAGUCCCUAAACUUCCAAUUAAUUGCAAUUUAGUAAUAAUUUUAUUUAAACAGAAUUGUCCUUCGACAACUGAAUUUUUCCAAUUUCUUCGAUUUGCCACAUCCUUCUUGCAAUUUUUUUUUUGUCUAAAAUUAUUAGGUUAAAUUAAAAAACCAACCCUACCCGCUUUAAAUUUGAACCUUGCCUUUUACUCGUAUCAAAUAAGUCAAAAAAAUUUGGAAAAGCAAUCAAGCUGUUUAUUUUUUCUGUUUUUUGAGGAAAGUUAUAGGUGGCUAGGCCAUAUAAGUUUCAUUAAGGUUUGGUUGAUGAAAAGUAAAUGAUAAAAGGUAGGAUUUUUUAAAAUUUAAAUUCGUUAUGAUUGUUUGAUGAAAAAAAUAAUCUAUCACAAUUUUUUCAAAAAAGUGGGAUCUCAUUUUAUUUUAUUUUUUUUGAGAUCUUAUUUUAUAAUAGAGUUAUUUUGAGUCGACCUUCAACCUAAACAUGAAAAAUCAGAAAAGUUCAAAAUUUUGCUAACCAUUUAUUAAACAAACCUAACAAUGAAAAGUGACGUUCAUUUUCUAAAUAACUACUUAUCAAAAAUAGUAUUUUUGAAAAGAUAAAUUUUAAAUUUAAAUUUUAAAAUUUAUAUUUAUAUUUUGAUUUUAAAAUUUUAAAUUUUAAAAUAUAAUUCAUAUUUUGAAUUUGAAUUUUAAAAUAAAAUUUAGAUUUAAAAUUUAAAUUUUAAAUUCAAAUGGCAUAUCUGUAACUUGGGGGAUCAAAUACAGGAAUUAUAAGAAAAAUCUAUAAUCUCAUUAUGACAAAUAAACUUUUUUAAUCUUUUAAUACGACAUAUAAAUUUUUUUAAUCUUUUAAUACCUAAAAAUUUUAAAUAAUGUGAUCCAAACACCCCUUUGGCCAAACAAAAUUUAUAGAAAAUAUUAUAAAUUAUAUAAAACCCUCCUGUUAAAACAUGAUUUUUCACUUUCUUUUCUUGUCAUUUAAAAAUCUACACUUUGCCACAUUGCAAAAUGAAAAAUGGUCACAGGGAAUACGGUGUAAACUAUAAUGACAAAAUGACCAUUUUGCCCUUCACCAUUUUUGGCAAUAGGAGAGAAGGUUGAGGGUAUUUUUGACAUAAAAAAUAUAUAAUAAUAUUUUAUAAACGGAACACUAACACGGCAGGGAGUGAAGUGAAUAUUUUUUAUUUUACAAAGAGACAAAGUGUUGAUUUUUAAAUAACAGAAAAGGAAAGUGAAAAAUCGAGUUUUAAUAGAAGGGUUUUCCCUAAUUUAGCCAAAAUAUUAUAUUGUAGAUAACAUUAUAUGUGACAAAUGGAACAGAAUCUGGAUGCUUAUGUUAAAUAUAUAAUAUUAAAAUAUUAUAUGUUAAAUAAUGUAAAUUAAUUAUACCUUUUUUUUCCUAAAAUUUAAGCUAUCAGACAAGUUAUUUUAAUAUUAUAUAUUUAAUGGCCCAUGUCAUUUUUGAAAGGUUUAACAUACAAUUCAAGAUAACUUGAAAUUUAUGUUAUUGAUAGAGAUUAGCCCUGUUCAGAUGCAGAGCUAAGAAAUCCUAUAGAAUUUUAGUGCGUGUUUGGUUCGAAGUCGGAAUCGAAAUCGGAAUCGGAAUCAAAAUAAGCUGGAAUCGGAAUCGGAAUGACUCAUUAUCUAAUUCUGUUUGGUUCAUCACCUGAAUCGGAAUCGGAAUAAAUCAUUCCCAUUGUCGGUGUUUGGUUCAGGUGGAUAUAAAAAAUGUAAUCAAAUUAAUAUACUAACAUUAUCUUUAUAAUAUAUUAAUUUAAAUUCAAAUUAAAAAUUAAAUAUUAAAAAUUUACAUCAAAAUUUUGAAAUAAUGUCAAAAUUUUAAAUCUAUUUUUUUAAAAAAAAAUUAAACUUUGAAGUUGAGUGGAUAAUUCAAAAUAUGAAACUAAAUUUUGAUUUAUUCAAAUUCAAAUUUAAAAUUACAAUUUAAAUUUUAAUUUGAAUCCAUAAAUUUAAUUUAAGUUUGAAAUAAAAUUUGAAUAACAUUUUAUAUAAAUUAAAAUUUAAUUUAAAUUCAAAUUCAUAAGUUAGAUUCGAAAUAGUUGAUUAAAUUUUAAUUUUUAAUUUAAGUUUAAAUUAAAUUUUAAAAUUAUAUAUUUAAUUUUUAAAUUUUAACUCAUAUUUUAAUUAAAAAAGUUGAAAAAAUAAAUUUAAUCCGAAUAAAUAUCCAUUCCGUCCGGAUUCAACUUUCAAUCCGGCCUCCUAGGCCGGAUUGAAAAAAGAGGUGACUGGGGGAUUCCCAUUCCACUCGGGAAUCGGAAUCGGAAUCGGAAUGGAACUCCCGUGUACCAAACACCCACAAAUGGAUUUAUCCAUUCCGAUUUCGUUUCCAAUGUGAAAAAGAAGCGAACCAAACACGCCGUUAUAUUCUGCCGUUUAAGUUAGACUAAAAUAGAGAAAAUUGUAUGAUUUUACCGAAUUUCAUGACUCUAUUUCCGACUAUUUGAAUACACACUGUUUGAAGGCUACAGCGGAAACGAAGGGGAAGUAAGUAGCUGAAUAAAAGUAGCAAAAGCCUUCAUUUCAAAAUCCCCUUCUCCCAGAAUUCCAAGUUCAAACGAUCCCACGGGAUAAAACGCGACCCAACUUGAUAGUGCGAAUUACAGGAUCGUGCAAAAGCAAGGAUUUCCUCUGAUCUUCCGUGUUCAAGGGUUGAACGCCUUUAUUAAGGUAUUACAGGAGUUUGUUGGGAAUCCGGUACGCACCCCGGUAUCGGAUUUUGUGGAUCCGCAAUCUGUUGCGAUAUCGACGGUUAUUAAUCCAAUAUCGAUUGUUGGGAUUCCGCAACGAAAGAGUCAAAUUGGAUUUUUAUCAUAAACUUGUCUCCUCAGCAAAAACUAAUACAAUCAUAAAAAAGAGAAAACAAUCAAACAGAAAAUAUGCGGAUAAAAUAAGAUUCAUUAAAUAAGAAAAAAUUAUUUCUGACUCCUCUUCUGCAAUAGAGUAGUUACAAUUCGAGCCCUCUUUUGAAUAUCUCCUAUCCUUCUCUCGUCUUCUAUAAACCCACAAGAAGACAACUCUCGUUUUCUCUCUCACAUGCACCCGUGCAUUAGGUGCAUACAAUUCAUGGCCAAGCUUCUCUUUGAUACGGUCCACCAAUGACCGUACCCUCCUCAAGGAUCUCAACUUGGCCGUGCUGCACCUUAAGCUCUCCACCAAUGGAGCUAUUCAUAAAGCUUACAUCAAAACGCAUUCGAAUCCUAAUCCAAUUAGAAUUCCUACUCCAAAUAAUAUUUAAAUAUAUAUUUAGUUUAUCUCUAAUAGUUUUAAAUAUUUAUUCUAAUCUAGUUAGAUUUAUACUCUAAUUAAUAUUUAAAUCUUAAUUUAUCUCUAAUAGAUUUAAAUGUUAAUUAUUAUCCAACUAAAAAAUCAACUACAAAUCUAACCAAAUCCUAACAGAGUUUCCCUCCUCGGAUCACCCUAGUGUUCUACACCUGGUUAUUGCACAAAGAUGUGUUGGCAACACAGAAACAUAGCUAGAUGAUUUUGAUCUUUAACCAGAGGUUUCCUUCAAAUGAAACAUAAACAGGUUAUCGACAAUGAUAAGAUAAGGGGCCAUGGUAGAGGAGGGAAAUAAAGAAGACAGAUAGGAGAGAAGGAUUAGGAAGCAGUGGAAUUUCCAGAUGUUUAAGUAAAUUUUACUUUAUUUUUUUUGACUCACAAAUUAACAACAUUCUAUUUUUUAAAUAUUAUUUUAAAGUAUCAAAACACCCUAUAAUAAAAGAAUUUUAGGAAAGUAAUAUUGUUGAAGUAUACUCUGUUUUAUAACACAUUCAAAAUAGAGCCUAAAUAAUUUUUUUAACAAAAAAAGAGAGCAUAAUCUAAUGCCAAUACCUUCAAAAUUAAUCAACAUAAAUUCACACGGCUUCACAUUUUUGAGAAUCUCAAUAAAUUUGUGAAUAAUUUUCAGAUGAUAUCCGUUAAGUAUAAAUGAAUUAUUCUGUCUGUUUCUAUGCUUUUCCGAAAGAAGCCAACAUUUUUAAGCUUUUUUUGAGUAAGACAUAUUAACCACAUUUAUACACAAAGCCAUGUAAUUCAUUUCCUAGUAGGAUUGUGUGCUGUUAAGAGUACAGUACGGAGGCCUACAUGUUCCUAAGCUAAUUUUGAUAAUAGAACUUUCGAAUUGACGAUCGGCUUCGUUAGACUUAAUCUAGCAUACUUCAAAUAUCUAGAAAAUAAAAUUUUGUGAUUUUUGAUGUCAUUUACCUAGUAACCGAAAUGACUCAAAAUUAAUGGUUAAAAAUAAAAAUCUUACAAAAAGUUAUAAUGUAGUACUAAAAUUUUCAAUUAGAGAUAUUGAUUUUAUUGUAGAUAGUAUAAAGAAUUUUCUAUCAAAAUUCAUCUAAAUACUGUUAAACUUGCAAACGAUACAUAUUAAUCUUUAAAAAUUAUUGAUUUUGAAUUUUUCGAUCAUAGGUAAAUAAUAUCAAAAAUUUGCAAAAUUUAUUUUCUAAAUACUUUAAAUACACUAGAUCAAGUCUAACGGAGCCGAUCAUCGAUUCAAAAAUUUCAUCAUCAAAAACGACUUAGGAGUAUAAAGACCUCACUACUCCUAAUAACACACAAGUCCUAUUCAUCCAUUCCCUAUAAAAAGACAUGUUUUAUGUAAAAAUUCAACCCGCUAGUUAAUAUUAUUUUAGUGUGUGGCUUUUUAUAUUCCCAAUAAGGACUUCUUUUCUAUCUGAUGUGGGACUAUUUGAGAAUCUGAAGGUGGCUUCCUUGGGUUCAAGAGGUGGCUCUUCAGAAUUUGGAAUAGUACUACAUAUAAGUUAUAAUAUGACUAAACCUGUUAACUGUGCUUAAAUAUUUUUGGCCAGUAGUUUAAGACCCAACGAAUUAUUAUUAGUAGCGGGUCGGAUCAUUAUAUUUAGUUUCAGAGAUGAAUACCUGCCGAACAUGUGAGAGUGCUAUACAGGACAAAAUGUUAUAUCACGAAUUUGGUAAGAGACACCUCUUCAAUCCACAAUAGCCACAUCUAGAAUGUCAUAUAACCUGAUAGUUUUCAUCUAUAUGUAAUUGAAUUUGAACCGGACGAAAAUGUCGGGCUCUAAACGGGGAAAAUCUAUGGCACCCAAAUAAUUUUACAUCGGAUAAAAACAGGAUUGUGAUUGAACAUAUAAAAAAUCAUAGACCCAAAUAAUAAUAAUUAGAUUUAAAUAUUUUGGCCCAAUGAUUUGAGCCUAACUAGUUAUUAUUGGUAAUAGGUUGGAUCAUCUAUCGAAAUAUAUAGAUUUAUAUGGAUAAAAAUCAUAAGAUCGUCUAUUCCAUAUCAGUAAAUUAUAUGUUCAAUUAUUUUAUAUAUAUAUAUAUAUAUAUAUAUAUAUAUAUAUAUAUAUAUAUAUAUAUAUAUAUAUAUAUAUAAUAUAUUAUUAGCGGAAUUUUUAUUCAUAUCUUUAAAAUAAUCUUUGAAUUAUUUCUAUGUAAUGCUUCUAUUGUACUUUUGUCAAAUUUGAGUUAACUAAUCAUGAAAAGAACGACAAAUUAUGCAGUACCAUCUGAUAAAUUUCCAUCUUUUUAAACUAUUUGAAAUAAUUAUUGUUCUCCAAAAAUCUUUACUUAUGUAAAAGCUAUUUUGCUAUCUGAUUUUACAAUAGUUCUCACUAUAAAAAAAUAUAUAUACUGAGUUGUUAGUGCCUGUACAGAAUGAUAAAGUAAAAAUUGGUUAAACCACGGAGGUGACAAAUUAAGUCUUUAUCCAAAGAAAACAAAAAUUAUUAAGGUGCGAGUUUGGAUGGAAACGGGCCUGAUCCCCUCAAUAAGGCCUAGUAGGCUUAGCUUUCUUUUAGGUGGAGCAUCUAGAUAAAAUAGCCCAUAGAAAUAUUUGGGCUACAAUAAUACAUAUACUUAAAAAACAUUUAUGCUAGGACAAAACAGUAAGGCUCCGUUUCGUUCAGAUAUAAGUAAAAACUGAUUAUUUCAUAAAUAAGAACAAGAUCAGAUAUAAACAGGAACUAAAGUAAAUUUUUAUUUGGAUAAUAAUUUAAGGAAUAAAUAGAAAUAAAAAAAAGUGUUUAGAUGAUUAAGAAAAAUAAGAGGAAUAACGGAUAGUUAUAUUUUUACAACAUCAAAAGUAUCCCUCACUGUAAUAAGAUAAUUCAACUUUAACAUGAAAAUUAACGGAGAGAGAUUGAUGAAAAAAAAAAGAACAAAGAAUAGAGAUUAUUUAUGAGUCGUGCAAUUUUGGAUGGAUAUGUUUGAUAACUUAAAUUUUAUGGGGUGAAAUAUGUAGUUUCACUUUUUUGUAAGAAGAUAGAUGCAAUUAAUCCUAUUCUUGAGGACACUAAUUCUAAAAAAUGCACUAAAAUUAUGCUGAUCCAUGGUAGGCCUUAUUUGGAUGCAUAAACAUAUUUUAUCCGGUUUAAUAUUUGACUUCUUACUCAAAAAGUUUUGAGCAUUUGGUAAAAUGUGGAGUGUGAUUAAAUACCUAGAAUAGCAUACCAUUUUCGGCUUUCUGAGUCAUAUGUUAAGAAUAAAAUAUAUCAUCUCAUAGAUUAAACAUGCUAUCCUAUCAAACCAUAAAUCAGAAAACCUUUUAGCCCUAAGUGGAUAUUGAAAUAUAUUUAUCUGGUGUUAAUUUGUUUGCUAUGAGAAAUUUCUUUAUUUUUUUGUUAUUGGAAGCUAGAAAUUUGAUCUUUGCAUUUUAAAAUAUCUUGAUAUAAAUGAUUUGGUAGAUCUACUUUGGCGUUUUAAAAUUUAUAAAAAAAUUAGCAAAAUGAACUAACUAAAAUGAAAAUUUAAACUUUUGUCACUUAAUUAGAAGAAAUUGAAGUUCAAGAACCUAAAUGAUUUUUCACUGAUGUGACAGUUCCAGCAGUAUGAUUUAUACAUAUUUAUGUAGAAUGUACUUUCAAAAAUGUUGGCGUGAAAACGACUUGAAUACGGACGGAUAUUUAAUUAAACCUGCAUUCAUAUUUUUUUUAUUUUUUAAAGAUAAAUUCAUAUAGAGAUAUACGUCGAAUGCUACCAUAUCCACUAAAAACAAAUUUGUAUACCAUUACAUAUUUCUUUGGAUUCGAAUAUGAAUCUAAUAUGUCUCCAAUAAUGAUAUACACUAAUAUGUAUAUAUAAAUAUAAAUUAGAAUUAGUAGUAAUGCAACUAAAGUUUCACACUUAUAUUUAUAUCUGAUUGAAUAAAAUCUAAAACUAAAGCUUCACACUGUGUCCAAAAUUUUAUAUACCUAUAUCUAAUUAAAUAAUAUUUAAAAUAAUAAAAUAAAAAAUUAUACAAAAAAUCAUCUUAUUUUCAUAAAUCAUCCAUUAACUACUAUGAAAUCUCAUCUCCUUUUGUCAACGUUGCGAUAUUAGCUUAAUUUAAAUCUUUGUGGGAUCUACCUGUCAGCUUAAUAUCUAUAAAAUACUAUUAAUCCUCAUGAUUUUAAUCCACGAAACCUCAAUAAUUUGAGCUAUGAUGGUGGGGUUCACCUACAUCCUUCCUAUUGGUUGGUGAUGGACCAACAUAAUAAAUGAUGGCCUAUUUCCUCAUAUGGCGUUUGGUUCGGAAACAAGGGGGGAAAUAAGCCCUUGUUCUCCCUUUGUUCCCAAAUGCCGUAUUUGGUUUUCGGGAACAGUAAUUUUCGGGUUCCUUUAAUAAGCUAGUAUAAAGCUGGAACUAUUGUUCCACCUUUUUCUGGAACAAGCUUGUUCCCGAAUGAGAACAAGGUUAAUUAAAGUCUAAAUUUAAUUUUAAUGACAGUAAAUUUUUAAUUAAUCUAAUUAAUAUAUUUAAAUUAUUAUUUAUUACUUAAAUAAUAAAAUAAUUAAUUAAUUUAUUAUUUAUAAUUAAUAUUAAUAAUUAUUAAUUAUUAUUAUUAUUUAUAAUUAAUUAUUAAUAAUUUAUUUAUUAUUAAUUUUUAAGUAAUAUUUUGAUGUUAAUUAAUUAGAUAAUAUAAUUUUAAUUUCAAAUUAUAUCUCUUAUUCCUUUUGUUCCAAUCUAACCAUCCAAACACUAUAUACCUUACUUCUAGGAACAACUCAAUUUUCAUCCAAACGCAAAAUUGGUUUAAUUCCUGUUUAUAUCUGAACUUAUACCUAUAACUGAAAUAAGCAAUUCUUAUUUAUACCCGAACCAAACAUAGCCUUAAAUGAUUUUUAAUUGAUGUGAUAGUUCCAGCAGUAUGAUUUAUCCAUAUUUAUGUAGAAUGUACUUUCCAAAACGUUGGCAUGAAAACGACUUGAAAACGGACGGAUAUUUGAUUAAACCUGCAUUCAUUUUUUUUUUUUAAUAUAAAUUCAUGUAGAGAUAUAUGUGGGAUGCUACCAUAUCCACUAAAUUCAAAUAUAGAUCUGAUCUGUCUCCAAUUGUAAUACCCUUCAUUUUGAGUUGGUCUAGGAGCAUAGUGGUCAUUUUUUUUUGGAUAAGGAUGCCACCACCCUUUUCAUGUUUAUCUCUUCAAAUUAACAGAGAGUGUGCAUUUUUUUUGUUCUCUCUAGUUAAUUACAUGCAUGGUGGAGAGCAUGGGUAUAGGCAGCCGAGGAGCUCGGAUUCGACAUCGACGUCGCGCCGCAAAGCCGUUCGAGGAUACGGUUGCAGUCGUAGCAUCACGAGGAGGCUGGACGAGGGUGCGUUUCCGCCGUUCUCGACAUCGCGCCGGAUUGGAUUUAGCUUUCGAGGUGGGUUUAUCAUCGGAUUCCUACUCGUAUAGUCUUGUUGGUCGACAUGUAUAGUUAGUAUUACACAUUACUAUUGUUUUAGCUCAGUUUCAUAUUUGUAAAUGUUGUUUUCAUCUAAACUGAAAUUGGAGCCUAUUUUUAUAAAUAAAUUAUACAUGUUGGACCUGGAUUUGACGUAGGAGAAAACUCGCAUUCGGGACCUGGCAUAUGUUAAACUACCUGAUUUAGCCUAGAGGCCGUUGUAUUAUUUUAUACUGUUGCAGUAUUCUCAUAGUGAGUAUAACAGGUAGUUUAGUUUUCAGUUACGCUCGUGCUGGGAUGCCGAGUGUAUUUUUAUAGUAGCGUUCAGGCUGUUCCGGACUGUUGGGUGCCGUCGGAGUUGACGGUAGACUCGUAUCGCCUUUUUGGCGUUAGAUUAUGCCGAGGGCACUUUACCUGUUGGUUGUUGACCAGUUAGAGUCGGUUACUUGACUUAGCCUGUGAGAGUGGUAUGAACUUGACAGAGAUAUUUGUAAACUCAUUGGGUCGCGCCCGCGAAUGCCAUUCUGGAAUGAGGUUUCAGUGCGAUGAGUGUCGCAGUUUCUGUUGGACAGUUCUUGAGCCGGCUACCCUCGGGGUGGUGUACGGCGCAGCUAGAUACAGGCAGGGUGGGUCCAUUUUGGGCAGCCCGGGUGAGAUAGUGAGUGACGUUUUUCCCUACCUUUAGUGAGGUUGUGACGUGAGUGGAGUCUUAACCAUCCUGUUGGACCUUUUUCUGAGACCGACUACUCUCGAGAUAUGGUGUAGUAUAAUUAGGUGAGACGGGUGUAUUCACAGUCUUUAGAGAGUUUUCUCCGCCGAUUACUCUUGAGAUACGGCGUAUUCUAGUAGACGAGACGGGUGUAUUCACAGUCUCCAGAGAGUUUUCUCCGCCGGUUACUCUUGAGCUACUGUGUCACCUAAUUAGGCGGGACGGGUGUAUUCACAGUCCCUAGAAAGUUUUCUCCAUCAGCUAUUCCUGGAGUAGGAUACGGGUUCGAUUCGACAGGCGGGACAGGUGUGUUCACAGUUCCUAGUGAGAUUGAGUCAGUUGUGACUUUUACUACAGUUGGUUAGUGUAGAUCAUGCUAGUGUAGCAAUAUGUAGCUGUAGAUUUCUUUCCAGCUUUUUUUGCUAGCCUUGUUACCUUCUGUAGACUUAGUGGGUGGACCGAUGAUUGUUGAGGGCGGCACCCACUGAGGACUACUUGUUUCUACAGUAGUUCUUACACCCAGUUGUUACUCCAUUUUUGCAGAGCCUUCGUCUUCGGCUGCUGCUGUUGCUGGUCAGGAGCUAGGCAAGGGCGUCACGAGUUAGAACCCUACUCGAGGAGUAGAGCUAGAUGCACCCCUACUGCAGGUAGAUGUUUUGGUUUGGGUUCAUGUACAUACAGACUUUUAACUCGCCAGCGCGAGUAGCUUUGUACUCUGGAAUUCAGUGUAUCUAUAGGGAACUCAGUUUCUUUUACUUUACUAGUUCUUCUAGCAGCUCUAUACUACUAUUUGUAGUAUUGUAUGUUUUACAGGUACAGCUGUCGCUUCGUAUACAGAGAAAAUUUCUUUGUAUACGGCGGAUUUGUCGGCGUGCCCGGGGAACGUGUAAUCCGGGGCGUGACACCAAUAAUAAUAUACACUAAUUUGUAUAUAUAAAUAUAAAUUAUAAUUAGUAGUAAUGCAACUAAAGUUUCACACUUAGGCCUUGUUUGAAUGCAUAGUUAAAAAACUCCAUAGAAUUAUUAUUCUAUGGUUUUGGUCUAAAUGAAAUACGAAAUUCUGUAACUACAAAAAAAUUCCACAGUUUCAUUUUUAAGCUGUUUGGAUACAGAUCAUACAAUUCCACAGUAUUUAUAAUAAUUAAAUUUCUAAAGUUUUAAAAUUCAAAAUUCAAAAUUUAAAAUUCAAAAUUCAAAAUCCAAAAUUUAAAAAUAAAAUUUUAAAAAUUAAAAUUCAAAAUUCAAAAUAUAAAAUUAAAUUUUAAAAUUUUAAAUUUUAAAAAUAAAUUAGAUUUUAUGUUUUAAAUUUGAAAUUUGAAAUUUGGAAUUUUAAAUUUAAAAUUUGAAAUUUGAAACUUUAAAUUUUAAAAUUUAAAGUAUACCAUUUAAACUUUAAAAUUUGAAAUUUAAAAAAUAUAUAAUUAAAAUUUUAAAUUUUAAAUUUAAUAAUUUAUAAAUUUACAUAUUUAUAAAUUUAAAAUUUAAAAUUUAAGUUUAAAUUAAAAUUUUCAAAAUUAAAAAUUCAAAAUUAAAAAUUAAAUUAAAAUUUGAAAUUUGAAAUUUGAAAUUUGAACUUUUUGAAAUUUGAAAUUUGAAAUUUGAACUUUUUGAAAAUUGAAAAUUGAAAAUUAAAAAUUUUGAAAUUUGAAAUUUGAAAUUUGAAAUUUGAAAGUUGAAAUUUGAAAUUUAAAAUUUGAACUUUUUGAAAUUUGAAAUUUGAAAUCAAAAUUAAAAAUAAAUUUUAAAAUUUUANUUGAAAUUUAAAAUUUUUUGUUAAAAUUUAAAAUUUAAAAAUUGAUACAUCUUUGGGAGCCCAAAAUGGUGGAAUUUUUUUUCUUUUGGUUAAAGUGGAUUGUAAGUUUACUCCAUUUUUUAGAGUAUAGUAUAACUAUACUCCAAAAAUUGCGUUAUUUUUUUUUUCCCAAACGCUUCAUAGGAUUAUUUUCCUACCGACGUAGCAUAGUUUAACUAUGCUACAUUUUUAGAGGUAUCCAAACGGGGCCUUAUAUUUAUAUCUGAUUGAAUAAAAUCUAAAACUAAAGUUUCAUACUCUGUCCAAAAUUUUAUAUACCUAUAUCUGAUUAAAUAAAGUUUAAAAUAAUAAAAUAAAAAAUUAUACAAAAAAUCAUCUUAUUUUCAUAAAUCAUCUAUUAACUACUAUGAAAUCCCAUGUCCUUUUAUCCACGUGGCGAUAUUAGCUUAAUUUGAAUCUUUGUGGGACCUACCUGUCAGCUUAAUAUCUAUAAAAUACUAUUAAUCCUCAUGAUUUUAAUUCACGUGGCGAAACCUCAACAAUUUGAGCUAUGGUGGUGGGGUCCACCUACAUCCUUCCUAUUGGUUGGUGAUGGACCCACACAAUAAAUGAUGGCCUAUUUCCUCAUAUGCUUUUCACCUUCCUCAUCUUUUCGUUGCCUAAGCCCAUAUCUCUUUUUUGCCUGUGCCCUCAUGCUGAUACAUCGCCUCGAAAGCUCACUCCCAUCUCUUCGUUCUUUGCACCCUUACACCGGUACAUCGCUUCUAAAUCCUUCGCCGUCCUAUUUUUUCCAUCUUAAACCCUCCCUUUUUGCCUUCCCCCAUUGCCCCUUCUUCACUGAAUAGUUCUCCACGCCAACAGCAAUGUCGGUGAAGGCUCCUUCUGCUGUAUCUCCUAAUCUCUUCCGCCCUGCGAGCUUCGGCACCAUUACAUAGUUGUCUCAGCCACCACCUCCAAAUGACCGUGCCAACUUUUCCAACGAGUGAAUGCCGCGAUCGUAGACAGCAAAUAUUUUCGCAACCUUUGAGAUCUCUUUGGCUCCCUUUCCCCAUAGUCUCUCUCUCUACUAAGCAGAGUAAUAGAAGAUCCAAAUUGGUACUACUUUUGAUUGCACCUAUCAACUAUUUGAUGAAAUGCUAAUUAAGGUCUCUUUCUUUAAUUCCUUACCCUGUUCCUCGCAACACUGUCGCAUUCGACUCUUUGAUUUUUUACUAAUUUUAUUCUGAUCUUCUUGACAUUCAUCUAAACUGGCAUAUAUUAAUGUUUUUGAUGGACAAUACUGUCAUCUCCAAAUUUGCACUUGCCUUUUUCAUCCAUACAAGCUAAGAUACUUUUUUAUUUUUAAUUGGUUUUUAUUUCUAGAAAGUUGGAUCCUAUGUAAUUCUUUUGUAAUGUGACUUUGCUGCUGAGCACAUAAUUUUUGGAGGUAUGCUAUUAUACUAAAUUUGCUCACUGCAAUCCAUAGUUGUUUUGAAGUGUUUAUGAAGGACCACAAUUAUAUAUAUGAUAUAGCUUUAAUUAAUUAAACUAAAAUAAUAGAAAUUUUGAAUAUUUUUCAAAAAUCAAUUUUUAUAUAUGUACAAUAUGGUUUCUUACAAGCAUGUUAAAAUUUAUAACUUAGCAGUAAAGGAAGAACAACUAUGUAACCAUCACAGACUCUUAAAAAAGAAUCACAUAGAUGGUAACAAUUUACUAUAUGAUCAUAAAGUAACUCAUAAAGAAAGAAGUAUAAACAGAUUACGAAUUUUCACAAAGUAAUGGCUAUAUUGCACUUUUGGUUCUCAAGCUUUGAGGGGUAUCACUUUGAUCCUCAAACUUCACCAUACUGAGAAGGAGCCAUUCGAGUUUAGGCAACAUGAAGGUAAUAGUUUUAUAAGAUUCAGGAGAAUUGUUUUUUGUAUGCUUUUUCUACAAUGUGAUGCUUAUUGAAAGGUUUUUUCUGUGGCAAACAAAAUAAGUUGUUGAAGAAUUGAAUCGAGCUGUGGUCACAAUGAAAAAGGAGAAGUCACCUUGGUAACAAUUCCACCAGAGCAUGCAUUUGUAUCAACUGAAUCAUAGCAAGAACUUGCAGACAUGCCCCAUUGGAUAAACAAAUCAUAUUUGGUAAAUAGAUUAAAAAAGAAGUUAAUAGCGUGUGGUCUGUUGCUCACAAAUUCUGUUUACUCGAUUCAAUCAAUUAAAAAUCAUGGCACCUAAAAAAAAAUCACUAUAAAUGUGUCUGUUUAUUGAUGUGAAGAAAACAGCUUGAUUGGAUAUAUACUAUCAUAAGAUGAUAUAAAUUUGUGGAAAAAUGUAUGGUGCAGGAUUAUUAACAUUUUAUUUUCAUUUUAGAACGGAUGAAGCGAAAGGAUUCUAAAAAUUGAUGUCGAAGCAAAAUGUUAUACAUUGUUUUCUUUCUUUGUUCUCUGCUUGAUAAAAACUUUUAAUAUAUUUUAAUAUUAUUAACCAAUUAAACGUGGUUAUUUCUUGCUUUUUCUAUAUUUUUUAUUUGUUUAUCUAUUCCAUAAAUUUUUACUAUAAUUUCUAUGCGCCGCAUCGUGCGGGUGCCUACACUAGUAUUUUGCUUAAUUGUGGAUUUAUGUUGGGGUCCAUCUGUCAGUUUUUUUUUAAUUGGUUAAGAGACUUUUCAAAUUUUCUUUUGUGAGACCUACCUACCAUCUUAAAACAUCUUAAUUAAUUAUGGGCUUUUGCGGGAAGCCAACUGUCAUCUUAACUUAUUUGCCCAUCAUCUCAUCGGAUAUAUUUAUUUGCCGAAUCUGAAGGAUCAUCUUUACGUUUAAUGCGGUAUUUUCCGUUGCCUUUUUUUUUGUGUGCAGCAAAACAUCUCCACUCCUCUGCCAGUUUUCUCUUCUUCUCUGAUUUGGUUUCCACCUUUCAUUCAUGUUGUAAUUUCAAUUUGUGUACUUAUUAUUUUUUUCUCAGAAAAUAUUAAAUACUUUUAUUUUCUCACAGGAAAUUGACUACUUCUUGCUGCAACAAUUAAUCAUAUUAACAGGUUUUUUUUUUACUUUCAAUUUGAUCUUUUAUUUGUUUACUCCAAUUUUUGUAUUGUAUAUUACAUUUUAAAUUAAUAUGAAUAUUUUUUAUUAGGAAUUUCUUGUCUCUGUAUCUACAAUUGAUUGUCUCAAAUUUUAUAAGUUUUUUGGCCUAAUUUUUAUGUAUAUACUUAUUUUUUUGCAGGUUUUUUUACAUUGUUACAACUGUAAAUUUUAUUGUAUCUAUGCUUGCCACUACUUUUGUUUUCUUCAGUUGCUUCUGCUUUUUUUUUUUCUUAUUCAAUUUUUUUCCUCUUAUGUAAUUACUAUUUCUUCUUUCUUUACCUUUUUUCACAAGAUAUCAAAUAUUUCUUCAAGUUAUUUAUACACCAAAUUUUCUUUUCUUAAGAAAAGAAUUUUAAUAUAAAAACGCAAGUUAAAUAUUGAAUAUUAUCUACCCGCAGCAUCGUGCGGGUCACUGCACUAGUCUAUAAAUAAAAUAAGUUAGAAUGCCGAGUAUGACAUGUUAGAUUUUACUCCAUUAUUAUGGCCUUUACGAUCACAUAAAUAAAUAAAAUAGAAUAAAUAAACUUAAUACUUGAAUUUGAAAGGGCGAAAUGACCAAAGUCAUUUACCCACUCAAUGAAUAAGGUGAUUUGAAAAGACAAAUUCAAUGUGUAAGUUAUCACCAUGAAUAAGCUAAUAUGAAAAGACACAUUAAAUGUGUAGAUUGUAACCAUGAGAUAAAGAAUCAAAGAAAUACAUAAAUGUCGGGUCUUCAAAAUCUGACGUGGCAAUUCCUUUUUAUUGGUUUUUGUUUUGUAUUUCUUUUUAUUUUUGGCUUCCCCUUUUUUCCUUUGCGCCCUUUCGUGGUUACAGGCUCUGCCGGUUGCCUUCUCUCUUGACUUCUCUGUUGCUUCGGUUUCUAUUUUCUUUUUUUUUUUUCCUUUGGUUUUGGGCUUUUUCGUUUUCCUUUUGGGCCAUUUCGUAGCUACAGGCUCCAUCGGUUGCCCUCUCUCUACGAUCUCUCUACUUCACGUGAUAGAUGCCUCUCUCCCCACGUUUCACAUUGCGGAUGCGAUCUCCGCUGCGAUUGUCUCCAGUUGCUAGUGGCGAUGUGAUGGCCCGUGAUCGGGCAAUUGGAUUACCAAUGAUCAAGUGGCCUAAUGCUAAAUUUCCUCUCCUCUUCCCCUAGACAACCUCAACCCAGGUACCGGCAAAUUUAGCGAGGAUUCCCAAUUAAUGGCUGAGACGAGAUCUGGUAUCUUCGUGGCCAUCAGUUGCGCCAGUAACCUCCACUAGACGCCCCCUCCCACCCACAAAAACCGGGAGUGUAGGGCCAUCGGGGGGCGAAUCUAAUGAGAAUCUCCCCUGGUAUCUCUGUGGCUGUCGGUUGCGCUAGUUAUCUGCGAUGAUGGCCUUGAACACCAUCAUUAACACCUAUACUAACCUACAUAUGUGUUUGCACGGGGACUAUGCUGAGCAAAUUCUGUAAAUACCCCUAUCUAUUUCUAAGAUCCCUUUUAUAGUUUCCUUCCUUGUCAUACAUUUAAGGCUCAGUGUCACCAUAAAUAUGGUGAGAUGAAAAACUAUUUGCACAUUCAAUGCGUAAGUUAUCAAAUGGAAGACCUGAAGUCUAAAUGAAUGUGACAUUCUUCGUGGUUAGAUUCAUGUAACUUAGAGAUAAUAAAAGGUUGUCAUGGUCAGAUAUAGUAACUUAUAUUGGAAAAAUAUUAAGAGUUGUUAUCAAUUGCUCCUUGAUGGAUGGAGUUCUAAAAUAACUAUAAUAGGGCUGUGGUCCCUCUUUCUACUCAAGCGCUCAUGCAGUACUUCAUAAUUCCAUCAAUUAGAACAAACAUACAGUACUUCGUAACUCCAUCAAUCAGAACAAACAUAAGUGAGUGAGGAGAAAGAAGACACAAGGCAUCUACUUGAAGUUUGGGAUCGGGAGCUAGAGGAUCGGUGCAAUUGAAGAAAAGUAAAGGAAUCGGAGGCAAACCUGGGUAUUCUAUAUAAUUAACUUUGAACCAAGGCUCAAGAUAUGAUAAUUUUAUUUAUUUUGAUUAUGCGUGUUUUGUAAAAUAUAGCCCAGGGAUCCUAAAUUUUGCUAACAUGACAAUCAAGAACUGCUUGUAUGACCCCAACCCUGGCUCUUUUACCUUGUUUUUCUACGCUAUAUUCGUAUGCUUUAUUCCUUGUUACAAGUACUAUAUUGUGCCUGGCCUGGCGAGACAAACUGCUAAAAUGUACUUAUCUUUUACUUCUUUGUGGCAUCUCAGCUUCUCUGCCCAAACCUUAUGUGAUGUCUGAUAAAUGUGAAACAGCUCUCCCAACAUUUUGGACUAAUCCAAAUACCAGAUUCUUUGCUAUAAUAAUUUCCAAAUAAUAGAACUUACCAAAGCCAAUGAGGUUGCCAUAUUUCUGUACAACUCGCGUUAUACUUAGAGCUUUCUCUUUGCCGAUUCCUAGCUGCAAAUUGCCAUCAAGGAGACAUGCAGUUGUUAAGGGAUAUUAGCAGAGUUAACUUCAAUAAAUAGUUUCUGAAAAUUUUAGCCCUUGAAGUGUGAACUUGACCUCAAUUUCACUCUUUAAUAGUUUCAAUUCCAGAUAAGUAAGUCCUAUUAGCUUAGCACCUGCAGAUAGCUUAGCACCUGAAGAAGGCAUCAUUUUGGCACUGGCACUAUCACUCUUCACUAGACUUCGUUCUGUAAAUAUAUGUACUCUGAGGGCAAAACUGAAUCGAAAUCAAACUCCAAGGAAGUUGCCAGAAAUGAGAUUCUGAGGAUGAGACCGAAAGAGGAGCCAUACUUCAAGCACUAGUCUCGAGCUGUGCACCGAUGGGCGGCCAAGAUGUUUUAAGAUGGAGGUGGACGGAAUGCAAAAUAUUUACGGUGCGAACACUAUACAACUUCCUGACGCAAAAUAUUAUGAGGGACCCUACCCGUCUUCAGAUCCAGAAGCUCAAAAUCCCAGUAAGGUGAAGAUAUUUAUAGGACUGCUCCUAAGGAACAGGAUGCUGACUAAGCACAACCUAGUGAGGAGAGGUUGGAUGAGCGAGCUGACUUGUGUUUUAUGCGAAGACGAACUCGAGACCACUAAUCACCUCUUGCACAACUGCGGUUAUAGCAAGCAGCCAAGCACAUAUUAUUCAUGAUCAUAGCAGAUGAGGAGCGCAAACCGAAUCGCGAGUUACACCACUGGCCAUCAGCCAGGAGCUUCCGUGUUCACUGCNGGUGGAUGGGCCGGUGCUGAGCGUGGUGGCGAAGCGCAUCCGCGCCCUGCGCAAGAAGUACAACCGCAUCCUCCAGAUGGAGGAGGGCCUCGCCCAGGGCAAAACCCUAAACAAGGAGCAGGAGGAGGUGCUCCGCUCCAAGCCCCUCGUCGCCGCCCUCAUCGACGAGCUCGAAAAGCUCCGACAACCCCUCUCCGCCGCGCUCGCCGAGGAGCUCUCCCGCGCGCCCCCUCCACCCGCGGUCGAGGCCUCGACGGAGGAGGACGACGACGAGGGCGACGAGGGCGAGGGGAAGCCCUCGGAUCGGGCCGUGCAGGACCUGGUGACGAUGCUCUACUUCGGGUGCCUGUUCGACGUGAAGCCGCAGAGCGAGUUCGCGGCGACGAUGCUCACCAGGACGCACGAGCGCGGGUGCUGCCUCACGUACGACUACGUCACCGACGACGCCACCGAUCUGCUCGGGGAGAAGGAUCUGGACGCGAUCUCGGCGCUCGGCGCGCACGUGACCUCGCGCCCGGCCCGAUCCGGCGUCUCCCACAGGGACGCGCUCAAGGAGUGCGUCGAGCACGCCAGGCUCUGGCUCCGCAAAUCCGAUCGGCCCAUCCAUCCCGAUGCCCCCGUGACCUGUAUGAGCCAACUUAGCACAAUGCCUUUUAUUUCUUGGUUUUAAUGGUUUUAGGGUUUCACCUGAGUUUGGUUGGUUACGUAGAUGCUGGAUUGAGGGAGAAGCUGGAUAAGAUCUUGUCAUCAGAUUAUUUCACCACGACGCCGGAGAUGAAGGCCCCAGUUGAUGUUGCCGCCGCGGUGGAGAACUUCGGCAGUGCAUCCCAUGUGCAGAUUCCGGAGAGCGCCACAGUACCGACACCAGCUGUUGAUGCCGAAGAUGGCCCGACCCAUGGUUUCGAUAAGGUUGACUUUCACCACUUUACAGUGUGAAGUCUUACGUUUAUUUAUUUUACUUUUUUGUUCUUAGACUGUGGCUGUGCUAUCUGAUUGCUUCGAGUAUAUUUUCGUUGCUUUGAAGGUUUAAUUUGUACACCAUGUGCAACGUUAUAAUUCGCUCUCUCUCCGCCUAUGCUUUCUAGUUUAAUUGUACUCAAAUAUUCUUAAUAACAGAUUGUUGUGAAGGAAGAACUGUUUCCAUCUUAUCCAGGUUUUAACUUGUUAGAUACGUAAGAUAAAUUUUAUUUGUCAAAUUUUGCUUGACGAGUGUCACUCCUGCACUUUUGGAGAAGGUUUUCGGGCUUGGGUUCGUAGUUUAUCUUGCAUUCUUUCAUUGAACUAGUGCAAUAUCUAUUGUCAAUUCCCUAAUUUUGUCUAAAACAAGGACCAUAAGUAGUCCUGAUCAUGCAGUUCCUGGAAAGCUGCUAGUAUGCCAAACAGUUAUAGUUUGCAUAAUCUUGGAAUUUUGUACAUAAUCAUUGUGAAUUUUGUCAUUUAGUUAGUUCAUAACUUGUAACUCAUAUAUGUGCUAUCGCCCCCCUUCUCUCCAGAGAAAGGGAACCAUUUUUAUUGUAAAGAAACGAGGGGGGCAAAAAAAAACCACUUUCCACCUACUCCUCGUUUUCUUCUUAUUUUCUUCUUCUCUUUCUGUGUCCCUCUUGCUCCCCGAGCACCCUCCUCAACCAAGUUUUUUCUUUUCUUUCUUUCUCUUGUAAUUAAGUUUUGUUCCUGGUCCUGUUUCUCUUUCCAUUUGGGCUGGUGGAUCUCCCGCUUCAUUCUUUUGAGGUCGGGAUCCGGUUGAUUUAGAGUGUUCUUCGUUGGUCUUGCCGGGAGAGCGAGUUGCUUUGACAGGAUGGUUGGAGGAUUGGUCGCUGAUUGGCCGAAAUUGGGUUCUGGCACUGGCAUGACGAGGGCAGAUGGUUUGUCAGCAAAUGCAGCAGAAUGCGCAAGGCAACCAUGCAUGUGUGCUUGUGUUCUUGUGCUACAUUGUGCUAGAUGAGCUAUGGGACUUGCAUGCAUCGAGGUGCAAUAGCGCGCUAUUAACUAGCUUCCUCGCUCUUGUCGCUGACACCGUCGCGGCGAAACACGAACUCUUGCAAGCUCGAUACAUGAAUUCCUCGUGUCCCGGCUCCCGAAAUGUGAUCACUCUAGUCUUGCAGUCGAUAGACACAUAAUACUUCGAGAGCCGGUCCAUGCCCAAAAUGACAUCGAACUCCUUCAACCUCUUUAGCAUUAACAGGUCGACCUGCAUAAUCCAGUCACCUACUUGUACUGGGCACGCCAAACACCGCUUCCUAACAAGGAAUGCUCGUCCGGGUCCUUCUACACGCCACACAUUCUCCCCCAGACUAAUCUCAAUAUCAUGCACUUGUGUAAACGAUCGGUUAAUGAACGAGUGUGAGGCGCCAGUAUCAAAAAGAGCUCUUGCUUGAACACCGUUAACCAACACCAUACCUGCCACUACAUUGCGCUCCUUGGCUUCGGUGGACUCCUCUCAGAGACCCACCCGAAGGCUGUCUGAAGUAUCAAGUCCUCAUGUCGAAAACAUGGAAUUACUCACUAGCAACCCAUAGGUCUAGUCUAUGCCUCAAGUGAAGGUUUACUAUGUCAAUGAUUCCAAUGUCCUAUGUGACCUUAGAUUUAGUAAGUCCAUACGUGUCACGCCCCGGGACCCAGUGGAAGCCCGCCCGGCGCGUACCCAGACCCGCCAUACGUCUAAAACGUAUAAGGCGUCUAAAAAUAACAAUAAUAAAAGCAAUAAUACAAGACAUCUAGGAGUAUCAGAGCAACAUUGGGACUGUGUGCCCCAUGUGGACUUUCUAUUGGUCACUUUUAUGUUGGGUAUUGGUUUUUCUCUCUCUUACUACAGACACAUUCCACUCUUCUCUGGAUGUAGUGCCCAUUUUCUCCAAGGCUUGGUACUCUUUUUCUUGGACUCUUGAGUCCAGGUUUUCAGGUGGGGCUUUUCACCUUAUCUUCCCUUCAGCUAGGUUCAGUUGAUGGAGCCGUGCAACUAUAUCUCUCCACUUUUAAGGAUUUCUUCGCCACUGAUGGCUAUAUUAUAAUCCUUUUGAUAUGAUGUGCUGUAAUAUAUAAAGCUUCAACGAAUUUGCCUACAGGCAUUUCUCUCUCUUUCUCUCGCUCUCUCAAAAAAAAAAGGAGACCCUCUCAUAUAUGUAGUUUGACGAAGUUGUAGUUAUCUUGGUACGCUGGAACCAUUUCUUUGUCUUGUUGUGUCUUAGAUUAAAAUAUUCCAUCCCUAUGUUAUUAUUUUUAGGGAAUUGGCACUUUCUUCAGUUGGUUUUCUAACAAAUUCUCCUAAUUCUUCUCUUCAUGAUUUUCACUGCCGACCAGGUCUUGUAAGAAGAUUUGUCCUGAGAAACUUGUACAGUUAUUGUUAUGAGUAUAUUGUGCAUUAAGGGCUUGUUUGGGAAUGCAUUUUCCAAACACGUCUGCUUUGAUGCUGUUAGAGGGUCAAAAAAAAAAUCCACCAGUGCUUUAGAGUUUUCCUCUAUUGAUUUUAAAAUGGUGGUGAAACCUGCCAUUGGAGGAGCAUUAGCUGGAUACCUCUCUCUAGAGGCGGUCUCCGCCACAAUUAGAAUGCAGUGGAGGAGGAAUGCCUUAAAGCACUUUUGAAUUUUUGAGCCAUUUAAAGCAUCAAAGCGCAUGCGUUCAUACGCUCCUAAAUUUUCUUGAUAAUAUUUACUUGAAUUUCUUGCAGCUUGUCUUUUCUUUAAUUUUUGUCAUGUACUUGUUCUUUCUUGUUUAGUUCUUGAGAUUGGUUAAUACACGCUUGUCAAUAAUUUAAAUUUUUGUUUUAAAUUUCUUUUGUUUGCCGGCUACUUUGAUUGUUGGAAAUGCUAUUGUAUUCUAUAACCUUGAUAUUCUUUGUCUUGUUUGAUAUUCUUAUUGGAACAUUGAAUGUCUGUGAAACAUUCUGAGUGAGUUGCUUGUAUCAAAUGAUGAUUUAUCAAAAUUUUCACCUCUCUUCUGAUGUAUCACAUUCCAGGUAGGUAAACAAGAACAAGAUGUUGAUUAAGAGUUGUUCACCCACUUUUGCUUCCUGUUUCUUAUAACAAAUUAACAGCUGAUCAUUAUCCUUUGCCUUUAACAAGCCAUAGGCUAUCCUGAUAAUUAAGCACUUUACUCUUGCUAUCAUAGCAGAGAAUCGAUAUAUCCCAUAUCUUAGUUACCCUUAAAUCAAUGCAAUUUUCAUUGCUUGUCUGUCUGGCUACUUAGUGCUAAUUGUGUACUUAAUUUUGGUCGUAUCAUCUGACUAACUCACUCAGUUUAGGUUCUGAGAGAUGACCGGUCCUAUUGUGCUGGUUUGUUUUGUUAAUGCUGUCAUUGUUGUUUUCUACUCUUUCACUGCAUCCCACAUGACUGUGACCACAAUGUUUUUGCAAGCUUGAAAGAUGCUCCCAGCAUUAGUAUAGGAAAAUAGAUCUUUAGCAUCUCCUGUGCAUCAAAUAAAAGCCAGAUGUGGAUAUACAAUUUCCUCUUUUUUUUUUAACCCCUUUUGAUCUAACAUCUUCAUCCUCAUUAAUUAUAUGUUGUCGUGGUAAAAUUUGCCUUGCAGAAACAUUAAAUUUUCCUGGAAUUUCAGGCUUAAAAACUUUUUGUGAAAUCAUGCGUAAGUUAUUUAUUAUUUCUUGGUGUUGCAAUUUGUUGCUUUUCAUAAUAAUUUCUGAUCGGAGAGUUGGUUAAUCUUGACUAUUAAACAGCAAUUUUGGCAGUCUUUUCGAAUCUUUAUGUAUUCAAGCACUUGAUGUGAAGGCUGAAUCAUCUUGAGAAGGCGGCGUUAGAACACUUGCAGCAAUUUGAAGUAGGAAAAUACAAAAUCAAGAUGCCAAUAAUUGCAAACUAAGAGGCUAGACAUAACAAAUGGGAUAAAAUACACUAAAUGUAUAAUUCAAAUAAUUUGUAAGCUAAUUGUUUUUUUCCCCCGCUUUUGAGCCAGUGUUACGGAGGGUCUUGUGAUUGUAUCACAUUAUCUGCUGGCAUCAACAUUUAUUUUAUUUGAUAUAACUUUUUGUCAUGUCCACAGGAAUUUUGAUUGCUCCCUUUAUAAUACUUUUCUUCUUUUUUUCCCCUUAGUGGAUUGAAUUAGAGUGACUAUGCUAGUCUUUGUGUUUCUCAUAUUAGUCACAAGUAUGAGAAAUGUUGUGUGAAAAUACUUUCACAUAAAAUAGUCAAGCCACUGUAUGUUCUGUUUCUCUUUACUAAUUUCCUGUAGUGAAAUGCAAAUAAUAACUUGAAGGUUUUUAGCUUGUGAAGGAAACCCUUAUCUAUAAUUGAGUUGUCAUGUGAUACGUAGAAACUUGUGAUUUGUUGUGCUCUCUUCCAGGAUGAGAGAGAAGAUUUUCAAAACACGGAUGUUCAUUUGGAUCAUCAUUCUACUUUAGUAGAUGAAGCCCCGAAGAUGGUAUCUACUAAAAACUUAAUGACAAACUUUGCAUUCUUCUACGAUACUUGGCCCCAAACUCAAAUCAAAUUUUGCCUUUGCAGGGUGAGGUAGCGGAUUCGGUAAGUCCGUCUAGUGAUGAUGUUUCCUUGCCCCAGAAAGAGCACCAAACACUUGAACCCGAUGUAGAAGAACAGAACCAGGAAGAUGCAGAUCCAAAAGAUCAACAGUAUGUCCCUCGGAGGUCUUACCAGGGUCAGCGCCGCGGCAGUGGAAGCGGCGGGGGGCGCAGGGGCUAUCUGAAUGGACGUGGUGGUCGUGGAGGUCGAGGCGGAGGUGGUGGUAAUGGUUACCAGAAUGGCCGGAGCCAAUACUAUGAACCCGGAUACUAUUCGAGAAACUAUUAUAACCCUAGGGGGAGGGGAGGACGAUCUGGCGGUUCUUCCAUGUACAACAACAAUUAUGGAGGAGGGCCUCACGGUGGUCAUGCACCGCCUGCAAGUGUUCACUCGGGUGCUAAUUCUUAGCUUUCUAUUUGUGUUGCUACGGAAAGUUGCCUUGAUCUGAUGGAGGUAUGCAUUUUGUGACGCACUUCUUAUUUAAAAACAUACUAAUUCGGUGUGUCAUACACUGUUUGUCUGUCACAUGGGACUUUUAUAUAGGGCUCAAUCAAAUUUUAAUGAGGGGGUGGUUUUCGGAGAUCUGUUGCAUGCUUUAAUAGUAGAUUACUGCCUCUUUUAACUUUUUUGCCAUUUAGAAGUUAUUUUCUGGUUGCGUUCCUUUCCUUCCAUUGUUUGAAAAUGCCGAGCGCCAUGUCCUGCUGUUCAAUUUGUGGGUAAAAUUUAACGUUGUAAAGAUGCCUUAACUGCUAGUUAUUUUUCUCUCUUCUGUUGCAUUUCUAGCAUAGCUGAUAGAAAACUUAGAGAUUUAGAACUGUGCUAUUUGUCACCACAGAAUAAAGCUUCCUUCAGAUCAUUUUGCAAGAAAUUAGAGAUUUAGAACUGUGCUAUUUGUCACCUCAGAAUAAAGCUUUCUUCCGAUUAUUUUGCAAGAAAACUAUAUAAGAUUCUUGUUUGUUUGGACUUUUUUAAGUUAGAGUUUCUCAUGUAGGUGUUACCGUUGCCAGUGUGAGUAAAAGGAGGUCAAUGCUCUAUAUGACUUCAUGUAAUAGGCUUCGAUGGUACGGAACUUGAUAACAUAAUCUGCAGUUCUAGCAGUCAGAUUGAAAGAUAGAUAGAGAGGGAUUGUACACUAUUCAACUUGAUCCCAAUAGAUUGUGGACCUUUGUGUGUAAACUAGUUUGCGAUUUUUUUUAAAAAGAGAAAGUCAUUUAGGCGCAAUUCAUUUUGCAAGGUUAUAAUUAGAGAGAGAAAAAAGUUUAGAUUAUGGACCUUUGUGUGUAAACUAGUUUGCUGUUGAAAAGAAAAGAAAGUCAGUUAGGUGCAAUGCAAUCAUUUUUGCAAGGUUAUACUUAGAGAAAGAAAAAAAGGUUAAAAGGGCAAAAAAUUAAAUUCGGUUUCUACCACCUUAUUCGAAAAUGGGGCACAGAUUUAGUGCGGAAGCUUUCACUUUUUUUUUUUCUGUUGGGAAAAGAAUUAUUCCAAUUUCAAACCUUUUCUAGUCGUGUUGAAAUCUAUUCUCCGUUUUUGCCUUUUGCUUACGGUUUAACCCUUUUUUUACCCCCCUGUGAUUACUCAGCAGCAUGGUGUUUGUAAAGGGGCUUAGCGUGUUAAGAGACUGAAACCUCCUGUAGUCCAUGUUUAUACUAAGCAUACUGAAUUCUUUGCUUUUUACCUUCACCGAAUUGUUGUAUGCAUCGAAGCUAAAGAACGCAACUCGGAUGUGUUGUUUCUCUCCCUGCCGUUUUUCUCAGCCCAGUUUGAAUUUGAAUUCUUGCAAACUUAUGUUCUAGACAUGGCAGCUGUAAUAAAAUGAUACUCUUUCUCACCAUUAGUUGCUAGUCUGAAAGAUGGGUCUCAUUCUAUUUGAAUGCUGCGGAAUUAUUAUUUCUUGUUUAUCCUGUGCCUUUCCAUUUUCAGUUGGAGCUGUUCAUUGUCAUUGAUACUGCCAAGGCAAGUUUAUGGAAGUUGAUAUUAACCAGAGCAGUAUCUAUGAUUGUCAUGGCAAAAUGGCUCGGAAUAUGGUUAGAUACAAUUUAUGUGCUCUAACAAUAGUUAAUGUUGCUUUGGCAAAUAUCAAAUCCCCAAGUUUUUAGAGGCAUGUUAUAGCUGAUGAUUCAUCACAUGUCACUGUUCAUAAUUAUUACUUUUACACCUGAAACCAUUUCUGUGCUUAUUGUGUGUUUGUUUUCUUUCUUGCAGUCCGAGUUUUUUUUUCUCUGCUGACCUAUUUGAGAAGUUACUUUAUAUGUGAUGGGUAUGUGCGUGUGAAUAGGUUUAAUAAGGGCCUUUUUAGAUCCAUCAAUAUUUAUGGUCACUAUAUAUGAAAAAAGAAAAGAAAAUAUAUAUUUGGUAUGUUUCUUUUGUUGUACUCUAUAGGGUGAUGAUGGCUGGAGAUGGUACAUAAAAUGUGAGUUGAGCUGGAAUACUAUCGGUAGCAAACUGGCUCCGUUGCCACCCAUUUGUUUUCGAUGAUGGAGCCUCCAAAUCGACGAUCGGCACCGUUGAAAAUGAUCUAUACCACUUGAAGUAUCUAGAAAUCAAAUUUCAUACUUUUCCGAUAUUAUUUUCUUGUCCAUCAAGUGGGUGUAAAAAUGAAUGGCUAAAAAUGAAUAUUCUCUAAAAAGUGAUGAUAAAAAUUUUAUAAUCAUGAUCGAGAGUAUAGAUCUUGUUCUAAGUAGUUUAAAGAAUUUUCUAACCAAAAUUUAAUUGAUUUGGAUAGCUUUACACCGUUAAACGAGAAAAUCCCUCAUAUUAACCAUUAAAAUUACUAAUUUUGAAAUCCUUUGAUCAUUAGGUAAAUGAUGUCGAAAAGAUUUGAAAUUUGAUUUCUAGAUACUUCAAGUGAUAUAGAUCAUGUUCAACGGUGCUGAUCGUUGAUUUGAAAGCACCAUCAUCGAAAACAAAUGGGUGGCAACGGAGCCCGUUUGCUACCGAUAGCAUUUCAGCUCAACUCCAUAAAAUAUAUUUAUUUAUAUUUAUAACUAUGAAGAGUAUACGGAAGAGUAAAUCCGUAGAUUACGAAGUUUUGGCAACAAAUAAAAUUAAUCGUGGGUUAUGAUUCGUGGAGAAACGAACGAAUUUUCAUCUCAUAUUUAUACCUCGAAUUACGGCUAAAAAAAGAUCCAGUAUGAAACAUUACUAUUUUCGAAAGCAUGUAGUCGUAGAACUUUGUUUACGAAGGCCUCGUUGGAGGGCCGAGCAUUUUGUAUGGCAUAUUUAUCCAAAAAUAAUAUAAUAAUUGAUUGGCAAAGAGUAUUAUUAUAUUGGAGCAAUUGCUUAUAUACUUUUAAAAAAAUUUUGACUUUUAAAUUUAUCCUUUUUAAAAAGCUAAUAUUAAAAAUAUCUAUUUUACCUUCCAAUCUAUUUCAAAUAUACCUCUAGAGUUAAAAUUUAGCAAUAGCUGUUAUCUCUAUAAAUUUUUUUUUUUUUUUUUCAAAUAUAUCCUUCUAUCAUUACCAAUUUUUCUUAUUUACCCAUAAGUUAGGAGCACAAAAUUUAUUUUGAUUUUUAGUAUUUUUAAAUAUACCCUUCUACAAUCAUCUUUUUUAUUUACUCUUGAGGGCAAAAGAAGCAUUUUGAUUUUUUUUAACCUUAGUAAAUAUUUAACUAACAUUUAAACCAAAUUAACUAAACUGGUGGUAACUGCAGAGAUAUUUUAGAAUAAUAAAGGAAUAUACGAGGAAUAUAUUGAAAAAAAAAAAGUAGUGAUAAAUAAAAUAUUUUUGAAGUUUUAGGGAUAUAUAGAAAAUUAUUUUAUAUAUAUAUAUAUAUAUACCCAACUUUAAUUAGAAGUUUUAAGACCUGUGAUGAAAUUCAAAACUCCCCACUCUUUAAUCUCUACAUUCUAUGUGGAAUUGGGCGGGAUACCAUUUAUUUUCUUUUUAUUGACUAUAGAGAGGUCUUUCUCUCACAUUGUGAUUCAAAAUGCAUCAUGUGAUAAUUCCCAUUUCAUAGGUAUUAGAUAUGGGACAUAAAGUUUCUCUAAGGAANGAGAAGAAAAUUUUCUUUAAAUUUUUUUUGAAAAACCUUUUUUUAAAUUUUAAACUUUUAAAAUUAAUAAAACUUAGCAUUUUUAUUUUUCUAAAAAAAUUGAAAAACAAACAUAGUAGUUUCCGUACAAAAAUUUACUAAAAAAGAUAGUUUUUUCUUGAACCAAAUAAGUGAAAAAUUUAAAAAAAAUCGUAAAAAUUCUUUUUUAUUGAAAAAAAUUUUCUUAUAAUUUUUUGAAGAACCAGACGGCCCCUAUAUAGCUUUAUGAUUGUAACUGAGGUGCUCUAUGAUUGUAACUAAGGUUUCAAGUUCGAAGCAUAAUUAUUUUAUAUUUCUGACCGAAUUUUUUUUUUUUUUUCCUAAUAAUUGAUGGAGGCGGAUAGCUUUUUAUCUUUCUCUCAAAGCAAAAAAUCGAAAAAAAUAUACUUGAGAUUUUCAUAAAGAAUUAAUUGUAUGUUAUGUUGUUGAUAUCUUAGCAUUUCUUAAUUAUAAUAUAAUGUCUUAAAUCAUAUAUAUAUAUAGAAUUGAUAUAUAUAUAUAUAUAGAACUAGGCUAAUAUACUAUUGAUAGCACGAAGCAUUUAGUGCUACCAAGUUUUCCACCAUUAGAUUAAGUGAUGUGCGGUUAGAAUGACGUGGGCCCCAUAGGAUUGAGUGGAUGGUUGAUUGAAUAGUAUGAUCUAAUGGGUGAAAAUGAUCAAAAGGGUAGAUCUAACGGCGAAUAACUUGGUAGCACCAAGUGUUUCGUGCUAUUAAUAGGCCGUGUCUACUAUACUAUUAUAAGUAUUGGAGUCCUUGUCCUCAUAAGUUGUUUUAAAUGAUGGUGCUUCCGAAUCGAUGAUCCACUCCGUUAAAUAUGAUUUAGAGUAUUUCAAAUUUCUAGAAAAUAAAUUUCGUAAAUUUUCGAAAUCAUAAUAAAGUCAUAUAUGUUGAUUAUAUCAAAAUAAUAUUUCGAAAAAUCUGUCGCAUUACACUUUUGGCACUAUAAAAUGUUUUGGGUCUAACCAACAGCCAAAAGCAAGUUAACAAUAAUUUGAUAACAUCAAGUUAAAAUAAUAUUGAAGAAAGAAUAUAUCUUUUUUUUUUCAAAAAAAAAAAUGUUAUCCAAGGAAACCUUUGACUUGCAGUGUUUGGCUUUACAAAUGGAGAAAAUCUAUUAUAUCGCAGUCAUAUCACAUCAUCUAUAAUCAGUCAAUCAUAUUUUUUUUUUCAAAUAAAAAUUAAUAAAAAUAUUUUUCUAAAUAUUAUGAUAGGAUGGGUAAACUCCAAAGAUGCAUUUUGAUUGGCUGGAGAUACCACUUCACUAAUGUGAUUGCUACAUUUUAGAGCUUUUCCGCCCACAAAUGGUUCACAAAUUUAUCCUGGCAAAGAGUGGUAUGCUAUUUUCUUUUGUGAUAGAAAUAAAAGCAAAAAAGGGUGAUGAGCUAAUUAAGAAAAGGAAAUGUGUGAGUAAUAAUUAAGCAAANGCAAAAAUUAAUUUCUAGAAACUUCAAAUGCGCUAGAUCAAGUCUAACGGAGCCGAUCAUCGAUUCGAAAAUUCCAUCAUCGAAAACAGCUCAGGAGCACGGAGGCCUCCGUGCUCCUGAGAGCACAGCAGCCCUGCUCUAUAUAUAUAUAUAUAUAUAUAUAUAUAACUUGCACAAAAUAAUAUCAAUGUUAUAACUCUUUUGGCAGAGUUGGGCCGAGAAAAAGGUCUAAUGUUUACGACUCCUCAGUCAUCUAUAAAUUAAGAUACCGUUGUUUUUUAGAGAGAGAUAGGUAGCACGCUACCCGCUUCGUUUAUUUCAUUUAGAAAUAAACUUAGCUGGAAAUGUGAAUCAACUAGGAUUCGAACUUGGGUCUUGGGUACCAACCAACAAGCCCUUUGCCACUUGCUCUAGGGACGGUCGAUACACACGCACACGAAAAUAAAUAAUAAUAAUAAUAAUAAUAAUAAUAAUAAUAAUAAUAAAAAAAAAAAAAUGAGCUGCUCCCAUCAAAUUGGCCAUUGAGGCUUUCUUGCACACACAAGCCCAUGCGGACACGUCCGAUCGGUUUAUCAUUAAAACGUGUACACUUUACAUUAAAAUAUUUAAAGUUCAAAAAUAUAACUAAAAAAUUUUGAUUAAUUAAUUAAUUAUAUAAUUAUAAUCGUCUAAUCAAAUCAAAUUGUAGAAUUAUAGUUGGUUUAUUUAAUUAAAGUUCAUUUUAAUUUUUUAAACUUUAAAUUAAUUUAAAAUUUUAACUUGUAUCAAAAAAAUCUAUAAGGGUACUUUAAAUAUAAAUAUACUUUAAGAAUAAAGGAGUAUUUGCAAUCGUAUGCUAUAUACAACAUAACUAAUUUUUUUUUUACAAAAAAAAUGUUUUAUAUUUUAAUAUUUUAAUAAUUCAACGAGGACAUCUCUUAUCAGAAUCUAUUGGUUAAUUCACACAGUAAUAUUAUCCCAAAUUACUACAAAAUAUCUAAUAAAGUAUUAGAUAAUGCAUGCAUUUUCUUUAUAGCAGAACUAAAGGGAGGACAUGGCUCUUUUAUCUUUUCACUUGCUCGAUAAGCGUGUUCUUGAUUCAUAAUUUUUUUUUUUUUAGAGAUAGAUAGCACGCUAUCCGUUUCGUUUAUUUCAUUUAGAAAUAAACUUACCUGAAAAUAUGAAUUAGAUAAGAUUUGAACUUGGGACCUCCGGUACCAAUCAUCAAAUUUUUUGCCACUUGCUCUAGAGACUGUCAGUGAUUCAUAAAUUAUGCAAGGACAAAAGUGGUGGAAUCAAAAAAAUUAGAAAAGGAGAGUUACUAUCAAAUUAAAGUUCAUUAUUACACUUUUUUGGUGUGUGGGUGACAAAAAAGUGCCUUAAAAGAAAACAAGUUCCUUGACACCUCACAAUUGACACUAUGGGCUAGUGCUGCUUCUUUAAUAAGCGCUUCUUUUUUUGUGAACUUUGUUAUCCUAAGCAUGGUCUGAGCCUUAUCCUUCUUUUUCUUUCUUCUUUUCUUUCUACUUUUUUAAUUUUUAGAUGUUCUAAUCUGAUUGUGUCUUCAGUUCUACGUGCACCUGAUACUACUGGAAGAGUAAUACUAUUUUCGCUCCAAAGUUGAUCUGUUUGUUUUAGUUUCACUUGUACCUGAUAUUACUGAAGAAUAAUAUUAUUCUCGCUUUAAAGAGAAUUUGUUUGAAUCCGAACCAUUGGGACUAAAUCGUUAAGAGUUUUAGAAAUUCUGAAAUAGUUUGAAUCUGGACGAUUGGGACUAAAUCGUCAAGAGUUUAGAAAUUCUGAAAUAGUGAACUUCACAUACCAUUCCCCCCGCCAAAAAAAAAAAAAAAAAAACUAGAUGCGCAUUAUGCUCUUAUCUACUUGUGUCUCAUAAUUUAACUCGUAUGAGAUAGAUCUUUUGCUGUAUUCUUAAGUAGAUGAUUUUCAUAACUAUACUAUCACAAAGUGGCCGUUGAUGCAUCAUUCUUUAUUUCUUUAUAUUCUUCUUCUUCUUUUCUUUUUCUUUUUGUGACCUUAGUUGUUUUAUUAAAAUUCUAUAUAAAAGGAGAACCAAACGUGCUCCGCAGUUGAGCCAUGUCGCCUCCUUUAAUCAUCUCUUUUUCUCUCUUACGUAGGCAUGUACUUAUCUUUACAUCACUCUCUGGAAUAGAGUGUGCACCUACACAUCUCUCUCUCUCUCUCUCUCUCUCCAAAGAAAUUUUCACCUCUUUCUCUCACAAUCCCCCUCUCUCUGACAUAGCUUUUUGUGAUGCUUUUCCUAAAAAGACAAUGAAAAUUAUCAAGGUAAAUAUUCUUUUUUUUUGUUGAGAAAAAGAUAGUAAACAAUUUGUUUUAUUCAAUAAGAAAAAUAAACUUAGCGUCAUGAAGAAGGCAAAUGACGCCUCCUGAAAAGAGGAGCAAAAUAGAAAAAGCAAGAGGAAAAAAUCAAGAAAAAAAAAUCGAGAGCGAAAAGAGAAAAGUGGUUGUUCGGAAAGAAAGUGAAAAGGUUGAGUAAGUGUAGUCGUAAAAAAAAAAAAAAAAACAGUUAAUAACAAAAUUCGAAUCAAGAAUUCAAGAACCUUCUGAUCUUUUUCUUAAAAAAAAAGAAGAAAAAGAACCUUCUGAUCCCUGCUAAGACUUGUAAUGGAUUAGACUAGUAGUUUCUAAAAAUAACAUUAUUUUCUUCUGAUCAAACCGCCAACUAAUUGGCCACUAAUAUAGUAAGACCUUUUGUUAUCGUGUAUGUUGGUUUAAAUGGGUCAGCGUUCUGCCUUCUGGUGAGAGGCUAUGUUGGGCCGAGUCAUGUUCGAAAUAGUGUGAAACUAGGUGGGCCGAGUCAUGUUUGAAGUGGCGUGAGGCUGGAUGGGCCGAGUCACAAUCGAGACCCGAGGGCGCUGUAUCUAUACACUUUAAGUGAAUUGGUUGCAUAUUUCUAACAGCUCGAACUUUUAGGAUUAAUGGUUAGCACCAACGAUCCGACAAGUAGUAUCAGAGGCAGAGGUCACGGAUUCGAUUUCCGCAUAUUGCAAAUGUAUCCAGAUGCUGGAGGGGAGAUUGUUGGUUUAAAUGGGCCGAGUCAUGUUCAAAGUGAUGUAAGAUUAGGUGGACUGAGUCACAAUCGAAACCCGUAGGCGCUGUAUCUGUACGCUUUAAGUGAUUUAGUUGCAUAUUUCUAACAACUCGAGUUUUUGGGCUUAAUGAUUAGCGCCAACGAUUCGACAGUGUAGCGCACAAAAAUUGCUUAUUGUUUCUCUCGCACUUCUUCUAUAUAUAUUUUCUAGUGUGUGGAAAUCUUUGUCUACGCAGAAGAGCAUAAACCUGACGUAUGUGCACUUUGUGAACAAAUGGUCGCACAAAGGACGCAGAGUUGGUCACCUAACUAACCCCUUUUUUUUCUUUUUUUUCUUUUUUUUUUGGAGAUUGUCACAAGUUAGGAGUCCUUUUCUUAAUGUCAACCAUACAAAUAUUUCAACUUUGACGGAUAUUUUAAGCUUGAAGAAUCGCAGGCUAUUCACAUCUCUCAAUCCCCCAUCCACUAUGAAGCUGAAGCUGUAAAGAGAGUUAGUUAAUUUAUUCUUGCUACACCAAUUAAGCUUUCUCCAAAUUAAAAGGUGACAUUUUAUGCAUAAUUUGGUGUAUUUUAGGAAUGAAAAAAAGGAAUAUUCAAGGUUUCAAAUUCUAUUAUUUGUCCCCAAUCAUUUAAUCCUCUACAAGCCAGGUCCUAAAUUUUUCUUUUUCAAAUUCUAUUAGUUGUAGCAGAUUGUGAUUAAAACUAUUUGAUGAAUUGAAUGUGCUUUCAUACCCAAUACUUGGAGGUCACGAAUUUGUUACUUAGCAUAAUCGGGAAUCAAACUUCUGACCUCAAAAACUACAAUUGGCGUAGGAAUCACUAGCCUAUUCGAUCCUUUUUACAUUAUUAGAAAAUUGAAUUUGAACAUCUUAUCCUUCUAUUGGUUUCAUUCAAUCCUGUUGGAAUAAAUGAGCAGCGAAAACUUACAAACUGAAUAGCCAACAUAUCCAGAAAUCGGAAUCGGAUCAUGUUGCUUGUUUUAGUAGUCUUCUUGGAUCGUCCUUAUCUCGAUGCUUUUAGAUCUCCCAUACAUCUCGCCUUCUCCUAUGCCUAUGCCUCGAAUACGUCAAGUCGGAUGCGACGGAUGUAAAUCAAAGAGGGCUACUAGAGUUCUCUUUUAUGUCCACACUGCAAAACUCCGGAAACAUAGGUGGAAAUCCCAAAGAGAAAGAAGAGAGAGAAGAUAUCUUAGAUUCUUUUUCGAUCGUUCAUACGAGAGAAAAGUGAACGUAUUUAUAGAAUAACGGAACUCCUAAAUAUCCUGAAUAUCAUCAAGAAAUUAGGAUAAGUAUUAGGAUUGGGAUAUCCAUAAUAACUAUCCAUUAGGAAAUACGUUUCUUAUCUAAUAAAAAAUAUAUAAUUUAUUAUUAUCCUUAAUAUAUUAGGAAAAACCCCAAUUUAUAUCUUAUAUGAAUCGUCUUAAAUUAAGACCCAUCGAUAUGAACAUGCCAUAUGACUAUCUAUAUUUAAAGAUUUAGAGUUUAGAAUUUAGAAUUUAAGAUCCUAGUUUUACUCAAGUAAAAGUAUUUUAAAUCUCUUAUACAUGAAAAAUUUGUAUGAACAACCAAAACCAUAAUUUUAGAUUAUUUCAAUCAACCACUGCAUCAUAAAUUUUAUUAACCCAGCAAGGCUUUUGAGCUAAUAAUAACUUAAGGGUAGGUCAACGUGGACCCGGAUGUUGACUAAAUCUUUAUUUUGUCUAGUCAAUGAAACAAAAGUCAACCCUAUUUCUAACUCUGGUGAAAUUUAGUCCAACAAUCAUCUAUGUAGAAUUACAUAAUUUGUCACUUCCAUCACAUAAAAAAAAAGGCUCUACAUCAAGCCACGUCACCGUUUAACGGAGAAAUUAACCAAUGGAAUUAUGCAAAAUGUCUAAAAAGAAUAUUAAUUGGACGCGCCCGAUGCACCGUAAACUAAUUCUGAAAAAAAAUAUAAAACAUAAAUAUUCAUAAUAUAAUAAAUUAUUUAAAUAUUUUAUAUUAUACAUAUUAUAUCAUAUCGAUAGAAUACAUAAUUUGCCACUUCUAUCACAUCAAGAAAAUGACUGGCUCUAUAUUAAACCACCUCGUCGCUUAAGGAAGGAACCAAUAGGAGCAUGCAAAAUGUACAAAAAGAAUUUAUAAAAUAGAGUACAAAAUUUGCCACUUCCAUUCCAUCACAUCAAGAAAAUGGCUCUACAUUAUACGGCAUCACCGUUUAAGGGAGGAGCCAAUAGGAGCAUGCAAAAUGUUCAAAAAGAAUGUUGGACGCACCCGGUGCACCGUAAAACAACUCUAAAAAAUAUAUAAAAAAUAAAUUUCAUAAUAUAAUAAAUUAUUUAAAUAUUUUAUAUUAUACAUAUUAUAUCAUAAAUUAUUUUGCAAUAUUAAUCAUGAGAUUUUUCAACAAUCAUCAUAUACUGUAUAGCGUAUCAAACUUUAAUAUACACUAGGUGCAACGAAAAGUUUUUCCUCUCUCUAUUUUUUUUUUUUUCACUAUAGAGAGUUGGCUCAUGUCAACAAUCACGUGUUCCCUUCAAUUUUCUCACUUCAACUUUUGCAUCUACCCGGUUUAUUAAAAUAUAACAUCCACUAAACAUAAUUUUAAUUAUUAAAAUUCUAAAAGUAAUUAUAAUUUAAUAGAUGUGAUCUACAUCAUAUAAAAAGUCUAUAUAUAUAUAUAUAUAUAUAUAUAUAUAUAUAUAUGUAUAUUACAAAUUUUAAAUUUCAAUAAAAAAAUUUACCAGUUGUAUAUAUAAGAUAUAUGUAUACACCAGGUGCAUGAAAUAAUUUUUCCUCCCAACCCACUUCUCAAGAUAAAAAUUGUCUGGACUAAGUUUUUAAAUAUUACACACAUCUACCGUUAUUGUUAAUAAUUCAUAUUAUAAGAUUAUAAUAUAAUUAAAUAAAUGUGAUCUACAUUAUAUAGAAAUUAAAAUCUAUGUAUAAAAAAUAUCAAGGUUUAAAUUUAUAUAUUGAGAAUUUUAUAUUGAGGGUUUUAAAUUUUUAUAAUAUAUAUUAAAAUUUAUAGAAAUUAAAAUAUUUAAGUUGACUGAAAUAUUAUCUACCUGCUGCAAAGCGCGGGCUCUGUACUAGGUAAUUUAACUAGGAGGAAGAGAAUUAGUGGUCCAAUUUUGUAGAGGGUGUAUACAAUUUGAAAACCAGAUAAACUAGAUAAAUUUGGCCAAGUACGCUACAAAUAGGGAUGCAAAUGGAUCCAGGUUGGUGGAGCUCCGCCUCGAAUGGAUUAGUAGCCGGAAACUAAAGAUAAGGAAAAAAUGUUAAUUCGUUCCAAAUCCAACUCGAUCUACCUAAAAAAUAAAAUAUGAGGUGGGGGAUCCGCAAAAAAUUUGCUAAAAACUCCCUCCUGUCGCUAGUUCCACAUUGAGUGGUAAGUUGGACGUCAAAAAAUAAAAUAAAAAUCAAUUCGUUCAAAUUCAUUCCGACUCAUCAACAAAACAGGACUGACGGUGAAGGACCCCUCCCACUCCUAUGUCUGCUCCAUUUGCAUCCUUAAUAAUAGCAAAAGCUAAUAAUAAAUGACGGAGAAAAAGAAAAAGAAAAAAGGAAGAGGUUUUAAUAGAUCAUGAAAAUCAUAUGCCAAUUUUAGGAGGAUAACAUUGCAUAGUGAAGAAUAUGUAGAUCAGUAGCACUAAAAUUAAAGGCAAAAUCAAGUGAGAUGGAGUAAGGGGCCACUUGUGCUCAUAGUUGAAACAGUGAAAGUGAUUGAUUCAAAAGGUGUGAAAAGAAUAAUGUUAGGUUUAGUAAUACAAACAGUAAAUUUUGUCUCUUUGGAUGGAUUGAUAAAUACCAUAUACCAUAGAAAGAAGAAGAUUCAAGUGAUUCUAACAGUAACUGGUAUCACAACAUGGCAAUAUUCUUGGAGAAGGUAAUUAUUUGUUGAACCUGGUCCACCACGUCAGUCGAAAACUAGUCUAUAAUUGGUGACCUCUUAAAAUUUGGGUGUAAACUUUCAGAGACGCGGUUGUCACGGUAAUAAAAGAAAUAUUAUUUAUGACUGGAAAAAUAAAUUUUAAUAUAAUUUGAAUUUCAACAUCUAAAUCCUUUCUGUACUGUAAAUUACAAUCAACAGUUUAUUGUUAUCUAUUAUUAACAAUGACUAUAAGUCAUUUCUAGUGCAGAUCCUUUACCACAAAUUCAACACUCAAAAUAUAUAUGCACGUAUUUUUGAGGCAUUAAUUGUCUCGUAUGUGCUGUUUAGGGAAUGUUUGAUUUCUCGAAAAAAAAAAAAAAAGGGAAAACAAUUUUUUCAAAUUUUUUUUUAUGGAAAGUACUAUUCUUCAAUAUUUUUAUUUUUUAGAAAAAAGUAUGAAAAAUGAAAUCUGUAAUUGUUCAUAAAGUCUGAAAAGAAAAAGUUUUUCAGAAAAAUUAUUUUUUGGUGAUCAAACAGGCAAAAAAAAAUAUUUUUCCGCUAAAAAGCUAUUUUUAAAUAAUAUUAAAAACACCCUUUUAGCACGAACAGAGGGAUCAAAGCUAGUUUUGGUUGAACAAAAAUUAUGUGGUGAGCCAUUGCAUGGAUCAGUAACGUACAAAUUGCUUAAAUCAUCUCUGCAUUUUUUUUUUUUUUUGGGGGGGUCCCCUAUGCUUUGGAUUAAAUUAAAAAAAAGUGAAAUACUGGUGUACCCUUCUCUAAAGUUUAAAAAUAACUUAUAAAUUUCACCAAAAUUUAAGUUAACUUAUAUAUCCUUUAAAAAUUCUAACACCUUAUAAAAGAAUACACUCAAUUAAAUUUUUUCAUUAAAUUUUCUUUAACCGCCAAUCUCACUGGCCCAAAAAAAGUAAUUUCAGAUAAGAAAAUUAUCUCUUACCAAAUUACAUCUUUCUUUUUCAUCCAGUUUUAAAUUAUUUCGUAUUGAGAAGAAAAUUUUUUGUAAAAGUUUAACUUCUUUGCUAUUUGAAAGUUACAUUAUACAUCAAAUGUUAAGUUUAUAAAAAAAGGUAAAAUAAUCAACCUACUCGGAAAGAAAAAUAAAACAAUUUCUUAGAUGAAGAAAAGAAAAGAAAGAGAAGAUAGAGAAGAGAGAAAAACUAAAAAAAAAAAAAUUAAUGAUUGAUGAAAAUUUACAAGUUUAGAGAGGUACAAGUUGAUUUAAAAUUUAGGGAUAAUUUCAUCAAUACCCCUCUGAAAAAUCAUAAUUUCAUGGAUAACCCUCUAAACUGAAAAAUAUCAUCAAUACCCCUCUUAAACCCAAAAAUAUUCACAGAUACCCUUUAGCUUAACUUUCAGUCAAAUGGUCGUCCAAUAUUUUAUAAAUACCAAUUUUACCCCUAGCAACAAUUUAAACAUUUAAUAUUUAAGAUUAAUUAUAUGAUCAAUUUUUAACAUUUGAAUCACAUAAUAAUUUAACAUUAUUUCUAAAAUAUUACAAUUAAAGAUCCAUAGUCUAUUAAGUGUGAUAGUUAAAUCUCAUUAUGAUUUUUCGCUUUUAAAUUAUACAUAGUUAUAAUGCAAUUUGUCUAUAGUAGAAUUCAACAUUAACUAUUUAAAGAUUUAUUUUUAAAAAUUUUAUUUAAAUAACUCACAUAUCUCAUGCUAAAAAUAUUUUGAUAUCAAAAUUCUCUAUAUUAGAGUAUUACUUAUAUGAUCUGCUUAAACAAAAUUUUUUUAAUUGAAAAUUUAUUGUUAACAAUAAAGUAAAAUUUUAUGAAAACCCUCUCAUCUAUAGUUCACUUCGACAUGAUCGUAACUCAGAAAAGCGUGAAAUUUGAUUUUCAGAUAGUUUAAAUGGUUUAUAUCAUAUUUAACGGUGCUAAUUGUCAAUUUGGAAAUCCUAUCAUCGAAAACAAAUCAUAGUAACCCAAGUUGUACUACCGAUAGUAUUAUAACAAAACUCUUUAUAUAUAUAUACCCUCUCAACCUAAGUGUUUUUUUUAAAAAAUUUUAGCAAUUGAGUGUUUUUUUCCAACAAAAUUAAAAAUUUUAUCAAAUUCAUGCGAGGGAUCUCAAUUAAAAAACUUUUAACUAAGUAAAGUCAAAAUAAAAAAAAACUGAUAGUUCAAGGUCUCUUUUAGUGUUAAAAAAUAAAACUUAAAGGGUUCUAGUUCAAAAUGAUUUACAAGUGAGGGGUUUCUUUAUUUUUUACCCACUAAUAAUUAGUGCUAGAGAUAUUAUUUUUAAAAUUUAGAAGGGUACUUAUGAAAUUACCCCUUAAUUAUUUCAUUAUUUGCUAUCAAAAUAAUACCUAACCUUUUUAGGGCUAAAUUAGUCAUUUUGUAACUCAACUUUUAUUUAACCCAACUUCAACCAUAGUUUUAGUAACAGUCGUUAGAUGGAAGGGUAAUUGUGAAAAAUUUUUGCAUUUGAAGGGGUAUAUAUGAUAUUUUCAACUUUGUAGGGGUAUUUAUGAUAUUUUUAUAUUUGAGAGGGGUAGUGGUGAAAUUGCCCCUAAAAUUUAGAUAAAUAUUAUAAGUUAUUUUUAAACGCUUCAGCUUCAAUUAGCAGGGGGAGGAAAUCUACUAUGUAUUAUUUACACUAUAUUAUCGAUAACUAGCCAACUCUCUAAGUACAAUAAAACAGUGAAUGUAGAGAAAUUGUAUUAUAAAAUAAAAUUAAUUUCCUGUAAAUAUAUAUCGAAUAACAAAUAUAUUCUUAUAAACUUUAAUUUUUUAUAUUUAUUACUAUAAAAGUUCUAGCAUUUUUAAAUAAACCCCGAUGUUAGGAUCCGUUAGAAAAAAUAUAAUUAGACAUAGAUAUAAUACUCAAACCUAUUAGUGAAUAAGUUAAAUUGACCUUUUCACCUCUUUUAUUCUAUUUGUGAUGUUAGAAAGAAAGAAGAUGACCGUUAGAAAUUGUUGGGAGAAUAUUUCUGUAUAAUGCUAACAAUUUGGACUUUUAAAAAAAUAUAUUUGUGAGGGUGAAAAUAUUAUUUUUUAUUUUUUGUUAAAAAAUAAAUAAUAUUCUAACGAUAACAAAUUAGAUUAACAAAUAUGAAUAUUUACUAAACUUUUGUAAAAAUAUAUAAAAAAAUAAUCUUUAUCAAAAUAUAUUUAAUAUUCGAUAUAUUUAGGCCAAUUGCAUAAAAAAUCCACUAGUUUUGGGCUUUUACAAAAUGGGCCAUCUUUUUCAUUUUUGCAGAUUCGGUCUGAUUUUUUAGCAAACUGACCAUAAUAUCCUUGUACCUUUUUCUCUCUCCUCUUUUUUUUUCUCUUGUUCUUUUUUCUUUCUCUUCCCAGAGAGAGCGGUGGAGGCAGAGGCGGAGGCGAGAAAGACGGGGGUGUACGGGCGGAGGUGCCGCAGCGACCUUCGCGGCUCCGAUGUCGGCGGAGAGGCGUCGUCGUCGGAGGCGAAAGAGAAGAGAGAGGGAAAGGGCAAGAAGGACGAGAGAGGGUGAAAUAGGUGUCGUCGUCGGAGGCGGUGGAGGAGGGUCGGAGAGGGGAAGAAAAAAAUUUGCAGCGCGGUCUCAGCGGGGUCAGAGGCGAGGAAGGCGGGGAGGUGCGCGAGCGAGGGUAAAGAUACGCUGGACAAAACCGAAGCAGGCCGCCUCCGCCUCCGCCUCUGCCUCCGUCGCUCUCUGGGAAGAGUAAGAAAAAAAGAACGAGAGAAAAAAAAAGGAAAAAGGUACAAUAGUAUUUUGGUCAGUUUGCUAAAAAAUCAGAUCGAAUCUAUAAAAACGAAAAGAUUGUCCACUUUUGCAAAACCUAAAACUAGUAGAUUUUUUAUGCAAAUGGGCCAUUUAUUUAUAACAAGCUGUAUAAAUUAACACUAACAAAAAGAAGAAAAAAAAAAAAAAAAAAAAAAAAAAAAAAAAAAAAAAAAAAAAAAAACGGAUAUGGACGAAAUGGGAAAGGCAUUACAAGUGGCCCACCCAGUCGGGGUCUGAAAAGACACUCCGGCACUUGGAUUCUCCCGAAUCAACGUGGUCCCCACUCCGCCACAUUUUUUUUCUUUUUUUUUUUUUUUGAGCAAACUUCAAAUACCACCCUUAUAGUUUUACUCUUUUAAUUUUAAUACCAUGUGAUUUUAAAAAAUAAAACAAAGGAAAUAACAAAUUUCAUCUCCAAAUAAUAAAUAGAGAUUAUCAGAUAUAUAUAAUUCCUUUAAUUGUUUAAAAUAUACAAAUAUAUUUCUAGUAGUUGACAGUCGUUAGUUGACCAUUAAAUUUUGACAGGUAGGAUCAUUAUGCCCUUACAAAAAAUAGUUUUUGUAAAUUUUUUUUUGAAUAAUUUAUAGUUCACAUAGAACAGUAUAAAAAUUAGAAUAAAAAUAUUAAAAUUAAUAAAUAAUUUUUGAUUGACGAUAAUGGUGACUUUAUAGAAAAAACAUAAGUGAGUAAAUUGAUCAACUAAUAGAGAGAAAUAUCUUUGCAAACUAUACUAUUUUGGAGGGAUAUUUAGUAUAACUAAAACUUUGUGGGAAUAAAUAUGUAAUUUUAUGACUUUAUAUAUAUAUAUAUAUAUAUAUAUAUAUAUAUAUUAUAUANUAUAUAUAUAUAUAUAUAUCCAAUUAACCCAAACAAAAAAUGAUCGAAAAACACAUCAAAUCUUGGCCUUAAAAGAUUGCAGUGUAUUAAAAUCCGGUUUUAUCCCUGAAUUGUAAAAUUUACUAAUAAGUCAACUGAAACGAUAAAUAAUAAAUUUAAUUGGUUACAAAAUAAUAAAAUAAAAUGAACAGGAAGUGAAAAUCGAGACAAGUAGCAACAAUAUUUUAUAAUAUUGAAUUCCAGAAAAAGAAAUGUUAGGACUUUUAUAAAUUAUGAAUUUAAAUAUUAAUAAAUUAUUAAAUAUUCUACAUAAUUAACUAUAUUUUUCUAAUGAAUUCUAUCAUUAAGGGUAUAUUUAAAAACGUUAGGAUUUUUGUAGAAAUAAAUAUGAAAAUUUAAAUUUUAUAGGAAUAUAUCUGUUAUUCGAUAUAUUUAUACUGUAUGUAAUUAAUCCUUUUAUUUUUAGCUUUCUGAUUGUUUCGAAUAGGUUAGCACCCGUUAUUCGGCCUUACAAGCUAAUCAAUUUUGACAAAAUUUAAAAUAUUACUAAUUAUCAUAAUUGUGAUUAUAUUAAAUUUAGGGUAAACUUAAAAAAUCACCUAUGUGGUUUCGCACUUUCUUAGUUUAGUACCAUAUUAUUUAAAGUGUAUCAUUUUAGUAUCUCGUGGUUUUAUUUUUUUUCUUUCCGUUAGUAUCUCCGUUAGCUCUCUGUUAUCUUACUUAUGAUUUAUCGAAUAUUCAUUUUAGUACCCUGUGGUUUACCAAAUUUUUAUUUUAAUACUCUGUGGUUUUAACUUUGUCACUGAUUUAACAAAAAAAUUAAUACAGAAAAUAACGAAAAGAGAGAGAAAAAAAAAUCACACGGUACUAAAGUAGCACAUUCCAAAUUAUAGGAUUCUAAAGUAAGAAAGCGUGAAAUCAUAUUUUUAAAUACAGAGCACUGAAGUAAAAAAAUACGAAACUACAAGAAUAAUAUUUGAAAUUUUUUUCUUAAAUUUAUGAGAAAUUCUAUUUGUAUAUUUUAAAAGAAUGUAUAUCUUACACUAUCAUUCUGAAAUUUAAAAAAUUUUAAAAAUAUU
rnacentral:lncRNA from 1 species